AAAGAAACUAACAAGGAUUUUCUUAGUAGCGGCGAGCGAAAAGAAAUCAGUUCAGCACUAAGUCACUUUGUCUAUAUGGCAAAUGUGAGAUGCAGUGUAUGGAACAUCAAUAUUCUAGUAUGAGAAAUUAACGAUUUAAGUCCUUCUUAAAUGAGGCCAUUUACCCAUAGGGGGUGCCAGGCCCGUAUAACGUUAAUGAUUACUAGAUGGUGUUUCCAAAGAGUCGUGUUGCUUGAUAGUGCAGCACUAAGUGGGUGGUAAACUCCAUCUAAAACUAAAUAUAACCAUGAGACCGAUAGUAAACAAGUACCGUGAGGGAAAGUUGAAAAGAACUCUGAAUAGAGAGUUAAAUAGUACGUGAAACUGCUUAGAGGUUAAGCCCGAUGAACCUGAAUAUCCGUUAUGGAAAAUUCAUCAUUAGAGUUGUAAUAUUUAAUAAAUAUUAUAAUAAUAGUGUGCAUUUUUUCCAUAUAAGGACAUUGUAAUCUAUUAGUAUUAGAAAAUUUAUCAAAAAAUUGUGGAUAUUGUUUAUUCAAAUUAAAGUGCUCGCAUUUUAACAUAAAAUAAAUACUGCAAAUUUGAUAAAGUAUUGAUAGAUUAAUAUGACUACAGUGCGCUAAUUUCUAGGAAUUAUAUAAUGGCAUGAUUAUCAUCGAUUUUUGUGUUUAUUAUAUGCACUUGUAUGAUUGACAAUGCGAAAGAUUCAGGAUACCUUCGGGACCCGUCUUGAAACACGGACCAAGGAGUCUAACAUACGUGCAAGUUAUUGGGAUAUAAACCUAAUAGCGUAAUUAACAUGACCAAUAAUGGGAUUAGUUUUUUAGCUAUUUAUAGUUGAUUAACACAAUCCCGGGGCG
rnacentral:rRNA from 1 species